rnacentral:rRNA from 1 species
UGGGGAAUAUUGCGCAAUGGGGGAAACCCUGACGCAGCCAUGCCGCGUGAAUGAAGAAGGCCUUCGGGUUGUAAAGUUCUUUCGGUAUUGAGGAAGGUUGAUGUGUUAAUAGCACAUCAAAUUGACGUUAAAUACAGAAGAAGCACCGGCUAACUCCGUGCCAGCAGCCGCGGUAAUACGGAGGGUGCGAGCGUUAAUCGGAAUAACUGGGCGUAAAGGGCACGCAGGCGGUUAUUUAAGUGAGGUGUGAAAGCCCCGGGCUUAACCUGGGAAUUGCAUUUCAGACUGGGUAACUAGAGUACUUUAGGGAGGGGUAGAAUUCCACGUGUAGCGGUGAAAUGCGUAGAGAUGUGGAGGAAUACCGAAGGCGAAGGCAGCCCCUUGGGAAUGUACUGACGCUCAUGUGCGAAAGCGUGGGGAGCAAACAGGAUUAGAUACCCUGGUAGUCCACGCUGUAAACGCUGUCGAUUUGGGGGUUGGGGUUUAACUCUGGCGCCCGUAGCUAACGUGAUAAAUCGACCGCCUGGGGAGUACGGCCGCAAGGUUA